rnacentral:lncRNA from 1 species
ACGGGGUUGGCGGGCGGCGACUUGGGAGCCGGCUAACCGCGUCACCCCGGCCAGCCCGGCUGUGGCCUGUGCGGACGCAGCUGCACGCUCUUCAAGUUAGGCAGCUCGCGCUCUGGUUGCAGCAGGAAACGCGGCGCAGGACAGGCGCACGAGGACCGUCCUGCGUCCUGAGCGUGCUGCCGCGUGGCACCGUUUGGGGAGUGGGGUAACAUCAAUCUGUCCGAGCUCACGAGAGAAAAGGAUGCUGUGGAACGGGUGGACGGUUUGGUAGGUCUGUUCGUGACAGUGAACGAUCCAGGAACAGACAAGCUUCCCAUUGCGGCAAGGAAGAACAGGCGGCUGUAUACUUUGAAGAUGUUAGGAGCAUAGACAGAAGCGUUAGUGGCGUCACGCUCGGACGUCUCGCGGUUUAGUUCAUUGACCUGUAUUGUACAUGGACAUAUUUUUUAAUGUAGGAUACUGUGACCACAAGAGACAGUAACUAAUAUCACAGCUGAGAAGGGCAAGGAAUACUGAAGAUAACGAAGAGAGUGUGGAACUCUUGUUUUUUCCAUUAAAUCUGCUUCCUGUCAGCCAUCAGACUUUUUCCCACUCUCAUUCAGAUUGCCAUCUGCUCCUUGGCCUCAAAUCCCAAGUGACCUUAACCGCUAAAGACUAGUAUUUCUAACCUCCAGUCCUUCAUUCUGUCUACGCACGCAGAUGCAUUUUGGUUAACAGACAGGCGGUGUAAGAGACCCCCUUGGUGGAUCCCCGUCUUUGGCAGAGAGGUGUGUUGGUGCAUGGAGGAAGCCUUUGCCAUCUUCACAAAACAGACCUACGUGCUGGUUCAUCUUCAUACCAGGAAAUGAUGACAGUCUUCAGGUCUAGACAAGCUGCUUAAUGGAACGGCAAGUCAUACCUACUAAGGUAACAUCCUUUAGUUUUUUACCUCAGUGGAUCUUGACCUGUAUUAGCCUGAAGAUGCACCACUUCAUGGUAAUAUAUUUUAAAAGCCUUUUAAAAAUCAUUGUCAUUUGUUCAUCACGUUAUACAGGUGGCAAAAGGAAUUAUGUUUAAUUAUGGAAAUCAAACGUUGCAAUUUGGUUGAUAAGGGAAGCA